rnacentral:rRNA from 1 species
AUUGAACGCUGGCGGCAGGCCUAACACAUGCAAGUCGAGCGGAUGAAGGGAGCUUGCUCCUGGAUUCAGCGGCGGACGGGUGAGUAAUGCCUAGGAAUCUGCCUGGUAGUGGGGGAUAACGUCCGGAAACGGGCGCUAAUACCGCAUACGACCUGAGGGAGAAAGUGGGGGAUCUUCGGACCUCACGCUAUCAGCUGAGCCUAGGUCGGAUUAGCUAGUUGGUGGGGUAAAGGCCUACCAAGGCGACGAUCCGUAACUGGUCUGAGAGGAUGAUCAGUCACACUGGAACUGAGACACGGUCCAGACUCCUACGGGAGGCAGCAGUGGGGAAUAUUGGACAAUGGGCGAAAGCCUGAUCCAGCCAUGCCGCGUGUGUGAAGAAGGUCUUCGGAUUGUAAAGCACUUUAAGUUGGGAGGAAGGGCAGUAAGUUAAUACCUUGCUGUUUUGACGUUACCAACAGAAUAAGCACCGGCUAACUUCGUG